CAACACGCCCUGGAUGGCCAAACGCCAUAACCCACAAAACACGCUGCUGUAGCAUCUGCUCCCUCCCUGCAGCUGCAACUGCUUUAGCGGUUGGCCUUGGCCACGCGCUCAAUCUCGUCCUUCUUUUUAAUCGCGUAGCUGUGGCGGAGGAGGCGGUCAAUGGGGAGGAACAUUAGGAGACCAAAAUGACGUAUUUCGGCCUAUCAUAUGAUUCCAUUGAACAAUCCCGCUAGGAAGGAUAAACCCCACAUCGGACAAUCCACCCGCCUGUCACCCAGCCUUCGCAAAAACUGGCGCAUAAAACUGGAAGCACAUCCGCCCUGACCCGGCAGCAGGUUCAGCAUUAGUUGACACGAACAUGUCCGCAAAAGGCUGCAAAGCGGACAGCACCCACAGUGCGGCUUCUGCCAAAUAGACGCUGCAACUUGCCUGACUUGGCCUCACCAAUUUUUAAAACUGGAAACAACGCCUACCUGUUAGACGAGCCCUUGGCGGCGUUUACCAGCUCGUCAGCCAGGCACUCCGCAAUCGUCUUAAUGUUGCGGAACGCGGCCUCGCGAGCGCCGGUCGUGAGCAGGUAAAUAGCCUGAUGCGGCAUGUGGCAAAGAUGCGGCACCAUCCAGGAACAUACGCUAAGAACGCACGCAUCUGCAGCAUUGGAGCCUCUAAACUGAAGGUUACGCAACGCACGACGACGGUCACCUUGUUCAUAUCCCACUGGGCGGGCGUCUUUCUAGCCCAAUAAUUAGAAGUUCCACUAGCCCCUUUACCGUUGAAGCCGGGAGCCCCAAGGUCCAGUCUCAGUCCCCAAAGGAAACCCCCUCGACUAAGCGCCCACCUGGUUCACGCGGCGCAAUGGCGAGAUAUCGACAGCCUGACGGCGGACCACACCAGCCGAGCCAAUGCGGGUCGCAUCCUCACGCGGUCCACU
rnacentral:lncRNA from 1 species